rnacentral:ncRNA from 4 species
AAACUACAAGGGGAGCCGAAGCUCCCCCAGAAGUAGUUGCGUGCUCUUUUUAUUAUUGAUUCGGGCUUCUUGUUUUUGUUGAGUGCCCUCGCCAUGAAGCUUUUCCUUCAUGACCCUCCCAAUCGGGAGCCAAGAGCAAACGGAUUGCUUUGGUCGCUGUGUUGCAGUGAUCUUGCGAUCCAACCAGUACAGGCUCUGUCUUAGGACAGUU